UUUUAAAAUCAUCAAAUCAUAAAUCAGACACAGCGCACAAAAUAGACUGCAUCCUCUUAACAGAUUUUUUUUGUUUGGACAACGCCGCACUCACUCACUCACAGUCUCUCUGACCACUGUCUAAUACUACUCCCCACCGCCCCCUCAGAUUUCUCUGGUCACUUCCCCACCGCCCCGUCACAAUUCUCCCCCAUUCCCCAUCCUACCAUGGCCGUCAGCUCCCUCUCUCCAUCGCCGGCUCUUCAUGGUCAGGCCGCCACUCCCCUUCGUUCCCACUGCCGGCGCGAGGUCCGCAGCCCCUGCUCUUCCUCCUCUUCAUGUUGAAUCUGGUCGCGGAAGUGGCCGAGGAGGCCCUCGAGCUCGGCAUGCUCGCGCGAGCAAUCCAACAGUAGGCGCCGUCAGAGGCGGACGCGGAGGCACGGGACUCGCACGCCCCUGCUCUACCCUGCUCCCUCUUCGAAUCUGGUCGCCGAAGUGCUCGAGGAAGCGCUAGAGCUCGGCAUGCUCGCUGGCGAAGCCGGCCCCUUCUCUCCUCCUGAAUCCUGAUGCGAGGGAGGUCCCCCAUCGCCGAUGGAGGCGUACCAGAAAGUGCAGGAGUUCGACUUGUCCAGCGGCGCUGAUUGGAAGACGACCGCCAACGUCCUCUCCUCUUCACGGUGCCCCCAAGCGCAAGGAGUUCGGGUGAGCAUUAGGCAGUAAACUAAUUUCUAGGGGACAUGAGCCCGGACAGUUAUUGUUCGAGGACAGCUGAAGCGAAUAGCACAUCUCGUUGCAAAUUUAUCACCAUACACCAGUAUGAUUGAUAUAUGAUAUGGGAUGGGAUAGGAAUGCAC
rnacentral:rRNA from 1 species